UACAAUUACAUUGUGAAAUGCUCACUUAAAUUACAAUUACCAUUAGAUCUACAUGAAAUUUAGCAAUGUAAUUAAUUAAAUCACAAUUACAUUGUGAAUUGUAAUUAAUUAGAUAAACGUGUUGCACUCUAUGCCAGCUAAGUCGAUCGUGUAGACAUUGGUAUUUCAUUUACACACCCUAUUACCUGAUGUCCUCCACGCCGAGGGAUGCGGCUACCACAGAGGUCAGAAAUCAAUAACGCUUAAUAGGACAGAUUCUUCAAAAAGUUCAAAAGGAGGGGGCAGAAGUGAUUCUAAUAGCACCCACGUGGCCAGCACAAGGUUGGUUCCCAAUUUUACUGCAAAUGUUGACAGAUUGUCCGAGACUUCUUCCCGUGUCAAAAGAUCUGCUAAUUCAACCAUGGAUCUUGUCCAUCCACUUCUACGCAGACUACACCUUGCGGUUUUUUGGAUAUCGGGGAAAGAUUGCACACAGAGGGAGUAUCGGACGACGUUAUCAGCAUCAUACUGUCGUCAUGGAAAAAUACCACAAAAGUUCAAUAUGGGAGUAAUAUCAAAAAAUGGUUCAGUUUUUGCAAUGAACGAAAUAUUGAUUCCUUUUCACCACAUGUAAAAGAUAUUUUAGAUUUUUUGGCAUUUCUUUAUAAGAAAGGUCUUAGCUACAGUGCUUUAAACACCGCUAGGUCAACUGUGAACUCAUUAAUUAAUACCAUGACUUGUUCCACAAACUGGGUGGGAAACAAUCAUCUGAUAAAGAGAUUUAUGAGAGGUGUGUUUUUACUCAGGCCUUCUCUACCAAGAUAUCAGUUUACCUGGGAUGUUGAGAUUGUUCUUAAUUAUCUGAAACAGAUAAAUUCAUGAGAUUUGAAACUUAUAACAUUUAAAUUAAUAGGAUUGUUAGGUUUGUUGACUGCACAAAGAUUACAAUCACUUCACCUUCUAAAAAAGGAAAAUAUAGAAUUUACCAAAAAUGGUGUAAAAAUUAGAAUAACUGAAUUGUUAAAGCAAUCUAGGCCUGGAAAUCAUUUGAAUGAGUUAAAUUUUCAAUCAUUUUCUG
rnacentral:lncRNA from 1 species